rnacentral:rRNA from 1 species
AGAACGAACGCUGGCGGCAGGCCUAACACAUGCAAGUCGAACGCCGUAGCAAUACGGAGUGGCAGACGGGUGAGUAACACGUGGGAACGUGCCCAAAGGUACGGAACAACUCCGGGAAACUGGAGCUAAUACCGUAUGUGCCCGAAAGGGGAAAGAUUUAUCGCCUUUGGAUCGGCCCGCGUCUGAUUAGCUAGUUGGUAGGGUAAUGGCCUACCAAGGCUACGAUCAGUAGCUGGUCUGAGAGGAUGAUCAGCCACAUUGGGACUGAGACACGGCCCAAACUCCUACGGGAGGCAGCAGUGGGGAAUAUUGGACAUGGGCGAAAGCCUGAUCCAGCCAUGCCGCGUGAGUGAUGAAGGCCUUAGGGUUGUAAAGCUCUUUCGGCGGGGACGAUAAUGACGGUACCGCAGAAGAGCCCGGCUAACUCGUGCCAGCACCGC